rnacentral:rRNA from 1 species
CAUUAUACCGCGAAACUGCGAAUGGCUCAUUAUAUAAGUUAUCGUUUAUUUGAUAGCACAUCACUACAUGGAUAACUGUGGUAAUUCUAGAGCUAAUACAUGCUAAAAAUCCCGACUUCGGAAGGGAUGUAUUUAUUAGAUUAAAAGCCAACGCCCUUCGGGGCUUCCUGGUGAUUCAUAAUAACUUUUCGAAUCGCAUGGCCUUGCGCCGGCGAUGGUUCAUUCAAAUUUCUUCCCUAUCAACUUUCGAUGCGAAGGUCUUGUCUUCGCAUGGUUGCAACGGGUAACGGAGGGUUAGGGCUCGACCCCGGAGAAGGAGCCUGAGAAACGGCUACUACAUCCAAGGAAGGCAGCAGGCGCGCAAAUUACCCAAUCCCGACACGGGGAGGUAGUGACAAUAAAUACUGAUACAGGGCUCUUUUGGGUCUUGUAAUCGGAAUGAGUACAAUUUAAAUCUCUUAACGAGGAACAAUUGGAGGGCAAGUCUGGUGCCAGCAGCCGCGGUAAUUCCAGCUCCAAUAGCGUAUAUUAAAGUUGUUGUGGUUAAAAAGCUCGUAGUUGAACCUUGGGCCUGGCUGGCCGGUCCCCCUCACCGGGUGCACUGAUCCAGCCGGGCCUUUCCCUCUGUGGAACCCCAUGGCCUUCACUGGCUGUGGCGGGGAAACAGGACUUUUACUUUGAAAAAAUUAGAGUGCUCCAGGCAGGCCUAUGCUCGAAUACAUUAGCAUGGAAUAAUAGAAUAGGGACGUGUGGUUCUAUUUUGUUGGUUUCUAGGACCGCCGUAAUGAUUAAUAGGGACAGUCGUGGGCAUCAGUAUUCA